UGCUCCCUUAGCUCAGUCGGUAGAGCGGCUGUCUUAUAUGCAGCAUGUCGUGGGUUCGAUUCCCUCAGGGCGCAU
rnacentral:tRNA from 1 species